UACGAGGGGGGCAAGCGUUGUUCGGAAUUAUUGGGCGUAAAGGGUGCGUAGGCGGGUCUUUUAAGUCAGGGGUGAAAUCCUGGAGCUCAACUCCAGAACUGCCUUUGAUACUGAGGAUCUUGAGUUCGGGAGAGGUGAGUGGAACUGCGAGUGUAGAGGUGAAAUUCGUAGAUAUUCGCAAGAACACCAGUGGCGAAGGCGGACUCACUGGCCCGAUAACUGACGCUGACGGCAGAAAGCGUGGGAAG
rnacentral:rRNA from 1 species